rnacentral:rRNA from 1 species
AACGAACGCUGGCGGCAUGCCUAAUACAUGCAAGUCGAACGAUCACUUCGGUGGUAGUGGCGCACGGGUGCGUAACGCGUGGGAAUCUGCCCUUGGGUUCGGAAUAACGUCGGGAAACUGACGCUAAUACCGGAUGAUGACGUACGUCAAAAGAUUUAUCGCCCAGGGAUGAGCCCGCGUAGGAUUAGCUAGUUGGUGGGGUAAAGGCUUACCAAGGCGACGAUCCUUAGCUGGUCUGAGAGGAUGAUCAGCCACACUGGGACUGAGACACGGCCCAGACUCCUACGGGAGGCAGCAGUAGGGAAUAUUGGACAAUGGGGGCAACCCUGAUCCAGCAAUGCCGCGUGAGUGAUGAAGGCCUUAGGGUUGUAAAGCUCUUUUACCCGGGAUGAUAAUGACAGUACCGGGAGAAUAAGCCCCGGCUAACUCCGUGCCAGCCGCCGCGGUAA